rnacentral:sRNA from 5 species
UAUCUCUCCGUACGGGGAAGGAUGAGAAGCUUCGACUAAGGUUCGAUUCGAGCGAAAGCGAGAAAACGUUGCCAACGGCAACGACCCGAAGGGCGAAGCGCGCAGCGCUGAGUAAUCCUUCCCCCGUCAUCC